CAUAUCCUAUAUUUGUAUAUAUAUAGCACCGAGCAACCGAGAACUGGUUCUUUCAUUAAAACGGUCUUUAAAAAAAGGGACGUGCAAGCAAGAAUUUGGUGCCAAGCAUUUUAUAAUAAUAUUGUGUAUGAAUAAACCGACCAACAGGAGGAUCAAGAACGAAUAUCCAGCAGAUAUCCUUUCAGAUAUGACGUACGAACAGCAAUUUAAAAUGCUGGUUCACGUAUGCUAUAUAAAAUCAGACUUUAAAGGCACAUGUUGAAGUUACAACGUACGAAAUCACCCAACAUCAAAAUUAAAUAGUGGUUGCUUGGUUUGCGCGCUCAAAGUUGCAACUCUGAUAUCUUAUUUAGUUUUGGAAUAAACUUUUGACUCACCAAAUAUAAAUUGAAUAUUCUUGGAACGAUAUACUUGUUCAGUUGAAGAUACUAAAGUCGAGUCAAAGAAAAUUUGAAGAGAAGCAAUGUUGAGCAUCAGGAGCUUUCAGUUGGUUGUUUUCUCUUUAUUCAUCUGUAAUCGUCUAGCAAAUGGACAUCAGUCAUGUUCAACUCGACCUAUAACCGGUGAAAUCCGAACAAGAAACUGUGGAUUGCAAAGAGUUAUAUCAAAAGGAUGUAGUGGAUAUUGUCCAUCACAUUCUUUACCAAGAAUAAAAUGGUCAGAUUUCAAAACAACCUGUACAUGCUGUCAAGUAAAAAAAAAAGAAAUGAAAGUUGUUUUCCUUUGUGGAGGCAAAGAAUCAUACACAAUUCCAGUGGCGAAAAAAUGUGCUUGUCGACCAUGUUAGAUAUAAAGUUGAAAGGAAACGUUCCAAUUCGCACGAUUUGGACAUUUUAUAAAAGGAAAACAAAACCCUGUUGAAAUGCGCCAAUGUAUUAUUCCAAAGUACGCAAAAUGUUUAACUCAGAGAGCUGUGUUUGAGUGCUUCAAAACAUAUCUGUGAAAUUCACAAUUAUCACUUUGUAAGUAGUUUUGCGUGUAAAUUUUUUUAAAUUAUUGUCUUAAGUUUGUUUUCAACGUACCGGAGGUCAAAUUUCCGAACUUUUUAUUUUAACCAUCGAUCGAUCACUUAAAUUCUUUGUAGAUCAGUGAACACUUUCACAAAUAAAAAAGCAGAUAAAUUUUAUUAAGCAUAUUGUUUGAUGAGUGCGGAUCACUGACUGAAUGGUCCAUCUACGACCAUUCAUGAGACGUUUUUAUAUACAGAUUAAAACAAAUGUAUUCCUUGUAUAGAUAGAAUAGUUAAUCGACGAUAGGCUUUGUUUCAUUAAACAAAAAAAUCGUGUUACAAAUAACCGUAAUGUCAACUUUGUUUUGUUAAUAAAAUAAAAAUAAUGGA